ensembl:lncRNA
CUCCCGCCCCCCGCCCCCCCUCCAGUAGAGUCACGCCUCUGAGCCGCCCCCUCUGCGCCUCACUGAUUUUGCGCUUUGUCACCGCCCUGUGCAUUCCCUGGAGCCUCCAGCACACCAGCUCUGCUUAUUUCUGUCUGAACCUUCCAAGUAGGUUCUGCUAAAAACUUGCUUCACAAAACUCAACAAGAAGUUACCACCUCCUUUCGGAGGUCUCCUGGGACGCCUCAGUUUCCUCUGCUGAACACUUAGGAAAGGGGGUCAGAGAGUUGCUUCCUGUCUUAGCUCCUGUGCUGACUAGAGGCCAGAGUGGAUCAGAUCAGCUUGCAUGUGAUCCUAAUUAAAGGCCAAGGUCCAGCUGGGCAUCCAUCCCUAUGCUAAAAGAGGAAGAUGCAGGGAGCAGCCGCCAGAAGUCACGUUCUGAACUCACUCGGUGGUCCUUUCCCAGGACCAGGUGGUCUAGGGUGACCCCCAUGAAAGGAUCAUUGAACCCCACAAUGGGAGCUGAAAUGACACACAGGUUGAAAACCAUAGUCCUAGAGUCAGGCAAAGGAGGGACUCUGUAAAAAGGUGGGACCAGAUGUCCUGGAGCCAGCUGCCUUCUCCCUCCUGUUAUUUCAGCAUCUGCAUCUGCACAGGCUGCCAUCCCUCCCGCCACGAACUCUGAGUGUUAUUUCCUCCUUCCGGAAAGUUCCUUACCAUCAAGUUCAGACAGCAUUUUCCUAGGGAAAUGUUGAGAAUCUGUGACCCAAUUCCAGCUCUGAUCUUCCCUGAUCCCUAAGAGCCUGUUUCUGCCCAGUACCCCUAUGUCCUUUCAAGCCAUCACACUACUAUUUGGGGUGAAAGAUGAACCAGUGGGGGCAGGGGAGAUAGUUCUUGGUGUGACUGCUAGGCCCUUGAGGAGCUGACACACAGUGGGCCUCUUGGGUGUGACUGCUAGGCCCUUGAGGAGCUGACACACAGUGGGUCUCCAUGAAUGCAGGUUGAGUCAUUGAACAGUAAGUGAACCUCGGUAGGAUUGUAAGGAGCAUGAGGCCCUUGUGCUCACAGAUACGCACUAGGGAAACCCUCAGUGUUAAACAGGAAGAUUUGUCUCUUCAACAGAAGGGUUGUUUACCUGUUUUCCACCCAGAAGGCUAGAAGUGCAUGUUGUGGACAGCCUGGUGGUCUGUGCUAUCUGUCGGGCCAGGGCAUGUACAAAUCCAAUCAGACUGUUACAUUUAUCCCAGACUCUUCCUUCCAGCCCUUUAUCCUGAGCGGUGUUCCUCCGUCAAUAGAAACCAUCCCUAGGGGAGAUGUCACAUGCACUUUGUAGCUUGGUGACUGCUAUUGUGACUUGGACCACACCAGAUCCUCCUCUAGACCCUUAAGCUAUAGAACCCACUCUUAUGACCUCUUAAGAGGUCACAUGUGGGGCUGGUGAGAUGGCUCAGUGGGUAAGAGCACCCAACUGCUCUUCCGAAGGUCCAGAGUUCAAAUCCCAGCAACCACAUGGUGGCUCACAACCAUCCGUAACGAGAUCUGACUCCCUCUUCUGGAGUGUCUGAAGACAGCUACAGUGUAC